rnacentral:rRNA from 1 species
UGAGGAAUUUUGCGCAAUGGGAGCAAUCCUGACGCAGCAACGCCGCGUGGGUGAUGAAGGCCUUCGGGUCGUAAACCUCUGUCAAGAGGGAAGAAACCCUUAGGUUCGAACAGGGCCUUUGGCUGACGGUACCUCUAAAGGAAGCACCGGCUAACUCCGUGCCAGCAGCCGCGGUAAUACGGAGGGUGCGAGCGUUAAUCGGAAUCACUGGGCGUAAAGCGCACGUAGGCGGUGUCGUAAGUCGUAUGUGAAAGCCCUCGGCUCAACCGGGGAACUGCAUUCGAUACUGCGAUGCUUGAGUGCCGGAGAGGGUGGCGGAAUUCCAGGUGUAGGAGUGAAAUCCGUAGAUAUCUGGAGGAACACCAGUGGCGAAGGCGGCCACCUGGCCGGCAACUGACGCUGAGGUGCGAAAGCGUGGGGAUCAAACA